CAUUUCUUUUUCCUUGACAGAAUCCCUUUCAUGAAUUUUGCAUAACUCAACAUCUGCUCUAGGGCUUCUACAAAUGAAAUGUUAAUCUGAAGUUUCUUGAAAACUUCCAAAAACUUAGUGAACUGCUUAUCCAAUUUCUAUUUUUGGGCCCUUUGCUGAAACGGUGGUGGAGGAUAGGCAACUGGUCCGUUAACUGGUUUGCUCUUUUCCAC
rnacentral:lncRNA from 1 species